rnacentral:rRNA from 1 species
GAUGAACGCUGGCGGCGUGCCUAAUACAUGCAAGUCGAGCGAACGGACGAGAAGCUUGCUUCUCUGAUGUUAGCGGCGGACGGGUGAGUAACACGUGGAUAACCUACCUAUAAGACUGGGAUAACUUCGGGAAACCGGAGCUAAUACCGGAUGAUAUUUUGAACCGCAUGGUUCAAAAGUGAAAGACGGUCUUGCUGUCACUUAUAGAUGGAUCUGCGCUGCAUUAGCUAGUUGGUAAGGUAACGGCUUACCAAGGCAACGAUGCAUAGCCGACCUGAGAGGCUGAUCGGCCACACGGGAGCUGAGACGCGGUCCAGACUCCUACGGGAGGCAGCAGUAGGGAAUCUUCCACAAUGGGCGAAAGCAUGACGGAGCAACGCCGCGUGAGUGAUGAAGGUCUUCGGAUCGUAAAACUCUGUUAUUAGGGAAGAACAUAUGUGUAAGUAAAUGUGCAGAGCUUGACGGUACCUAAUCAGAAAGCCACGGCUAACUACGUG